AUGGAGCCCAAUGGGAGAGCCAUUACCAGAAAGAGGUUUUUGUAUGAGCCUGUGUCACAGUGUUAUGUGUUCGGCGGAGGGACCCAGCUGACCGUCCUAGGUCAGCCCAAGUCGGCACCCUCAGUGUCUCUGUUCCCGCCCUCCACUGAGGAGCUCAGCAAGAACAAGGCCACCCUGGUGUGUCUCAUGAGUGACUUCUACCCGGGCAGCGUGACGGUGGCCUGGAAGGCAAAUGGCACCCCCGUCACCCAGGGCGUGGAGACCACCAAGCCCUCCAAGCAGAGCAACAACAAGUACGCGGCCAGCAGCUACCUGAGCGUGUCCAGCCAAGACUGGAAAUCUGCCAGCGCCUACAGCUGCGAGGUCACGCACGACGGGAAGACCGUGGAGAAGACAGUGGCCCCCUCAGAGUGUUCCUAGGACCUGAGUCCCC